rnacentral:rRNA from 1 species
AGUGAACGCUGGCGGUAGGCCUAACACAUGCAAGUCGAACGGCAGCACAGUAAGAGCUUGCUCUUACGGGUGGCGAGUGGCGGACGGGUGAGGAAUACAUCGGAAUCUACUUUUUCGUGGGGGAUAACGUAGGGAAACUUACGCUAAUACCGCAUACGACCUACGGGUGAAAGCAGGGGAUCUUCGGACCUUGCGCGAUUGAAUGAGCCGAUGUCGGAUUAGCUAGUUGGCGGGGUAAAGGCCCACCAAGGCGACGAUCCGUAGCUGGUCUGAGAGGAUGAUCAGCCACACUGGAACUGAGACACGGUCCAGACUCCUACGGGAGGCAGCAGUGGGGAAUAUUGGUCAAUGGGCACAAGCCUGAUCCAGCCAUACCGCGUGGGUGAAGAAGGCCUUCGGGUUGUAAAGCCCUUUUGUUGGGAAAGAAAAGCAGCAGGUUAAUACCCCGCUGUUCUGACGGUACCCAAAGAACAAGCACCGGCUAACUUCGUG